rnacentral:rRNA from 1 species
UACAGAGGGGGCUAGCGUUAUUCGGAAUUAUUGGGCGUAAAGGGCGCGUAGGCGGCCAUGCGUGUCUUCCGUGAAAUCCCUCGGCUUAACUGAGGACGUGCGGAAGAAACUGCAAGGCUCGAGUCCGGGAGAGGGGGGUGGAAUUCCCAGUGUAGCGGUGAAAUGCGUAGAUAUUGGGAGGAACACCGGUGGCGAAGGCGGCCCCCUGGACCGGUACUGACGCUGAGGGGCGAAAGCGUGGGGAGCAAACAGG